GUUGUAUGGUUAAGUGACUAAGCGUACAUGGUGGAUGCCUUGGCAGUCAGAGGCGAUGAAGGACGUACUAACCUGCGAUAAGCCGUGAGCAGUCGGUAAGAGACAUUACGACUCACGGAUUUCCGAAUGGGGAAACCCACUUAGCAUAAGCUAGGUAUCGCUACGUGAAUACAUAGCGUAGCGAGGCGAACCGGGAGAACUGAAACAUCUAAGUACCCCGAGGAAAAGAAAUCAACCGAGAUUCCCUCAGUAGCGGCGAGCGAACGGGGAUUAGCCCUUAAGCAUCUUGGAAGUUAGUGGAACGGUCCUGGAAAGGCCGGCGAUACAGGGUGAUAGCCCCGUACACGAAAACAACCUUGAUGUGAAAUCGAGUAGGGCGGGACACGUGACAUCCUGUCUGAAUAUGGGGGGACCAUCCUCCAAGGCUAAAUACUCCUGACUGACCGAUAGUGAACCAGUACCGUGAGGGAAAGGCGAAAAGAACCCCUGUGAGGGGAGUGAAAUAGAACCUGAAACCGUGUACGUACAAGCAGUGGGAGCCCUUCGGGGUGACUGCGUACCUUUUGUAUAAUGGGUCAGCGACUUACAUUUUGUAGCGAGGUUAACCGUAUAGGGGAGCCGUAGGGAAACCGAGUCUUAACUGGGCGUCUAGUUGCAAGGUGUAGACCCGAAACCGGGUGAUCUAGCCAUGGGCAGGUUGAAGGUUGAGUAACAUCAACUGGAGGACCGAACCCACUAACGUUGCAAAGUUAGGGGAUGACCUGUGGCUGGGGGUGAAAGGCCAAUCAAACUCGGAGAUAGCUGGUUCUCCCCGAAAGCUAUUUAGGUAGCGCCUCGGACGAAUACUACUGGGGGUAGAGCACUGUUUGGGCUAGGGGGUCAUCCCGACUUACCAACCCCAUGCAAACUCCGAAUACCAGUAAGUAAUAUCCGGGAGACACACGGCGGGUGCUAACGUCCGUCGUGAAGAGGGAAACAACCCAGACCGCCGGCUAAGGUCCCAAAGUUCUGGUUAAGUGGGAAACGAUGUGGGAAGGCUCAGACAGCUAGGAUGUUGGCUUAGAAGCAGCCAUCAUUUAAAGAAAGCGUAAUAGCUCACUAGUCGAGUCGGCCUGCGCGGAAGAUGUAACGGGGCUCAAACCAGGCACCGAAGCCGCGGAUUCACACUAAGUGUGAGUGGUAGGGGAGCGUUCUGUAAGUCUGCGAAGGUGUGUCGAGAGGCAUGCUGGAGAUAUCAGAAGUGCGAAUGCUGACGUAAGUAACGAUAAAGGGGGUGAAAAGCCUCCUCGCCGGAAGACCAAGGGUUCCUGUCCAACGUUAAUCGGGGCAGGGUGAGUCGACCCCUAAGGCGAGGCCGAAAGGCGUAGUCGAUGGGAAGCAGGUUAAUAUUCCUGCACGACUUGUAAUUGCGAUGGGGGGACGGAGAAGGCUAGGUGGGCCAGGCGACGGUUGUCCUGGUGAAAGUGCGUAGGUGGUGUUUCUAGGCAAAUCCGGAGACACAACACUGAGACACGAGACGAACGUACUACGGUGUGGAAGCCAUUGAUGCCCUGCUUCCAGGAAAAGCCUCUAAGCUUCAGAUUACAAGUCAUCGUACCCCAAACCGACACAGGUGGUCGGGUAGAGAAUACCAAGGCGCUUGAGAGAACUCGGGUGAAGGAACUAGGCAAAAUAGAACCGUAACUUCGGGAGAAGGUUCGCUCUUGACAGUGAAGUCCCUUGCGGAUGGAGCAGUUGGGAGUCGCAGUGACCAGAUGGCUGGGACUGUUUAUCAAAAACACAGCACUCUGCAAACACGAAAGUGGACGUAUAGGGUGUGACACCUGCCCGGUGCCGGAAGGUUAAUUGAUGGGGUUAGCGCAAGCGAAGCUCUUGAUCGAAGCCCCGGUAAACGGCGGCCGUAACUAUAACGGUCCUAAGGUAGCGAAAUUCCUUGUCGGGUAAGUUCCGACCUGCACGAAUGGUGUAACCAUGGCCAUGCUGUCUCCACCCGAGACUCAGUGAAAUCGAAUUCGCCGUGAAGAUGCGGUGUACCCGCGGCUAGACGGAAAGACCCCGUGAACCUUUACUACAGCUUGGCACUGAACAUUGAACCUACAUGUGUAGGAUAGGUGGGAGGCUUUGAAGGCGUGACGCCAGUUGCGCUGGAGCCGUCCUUGAAAUACCACCCUUGUAUGUUUGAUGUUCUAACGCAGGCCCCUGAAUCGGGGUCGCGGACAGUGCCUGGUGGGUAGUUUGACUGGGGCGGUCUCCUCCCAAAGAGUAACGGAGGAGCACGAAGGUUGGCUAAUCCUGGUCGGACAUCAGGAGGUUAGUGCAAUGGCAUAAGCCAGCUUAACUGCGAGACGGACAGGUCGAGCAGGUACGAAAGUAGGUCAUAGUGAUCCGGUGGUUCUGAAUGGAAGGGCCAUCGCUCAACGGAUAAAAGGUACUCCGGGGAUAACAGGCUGAUACCGCCCAAGAGUUCAUAUCGACGGCGGUGUUUGGCACCUCGAUGUCGGCUCAUCACAUCCUGGGGCUGAAGUCGGUCCCAAGGGUAUGGCUGUUCGCCAUUUAAAGUGGUACGCGAGCUGGGUUCAGAACGUCGUGAGACAGUUCGGUCCCUAUCUGCCGUGGGCGUUGGAUGAUUGAAGGGAGUUGCUCCUAGUACGAGAGGACCGGAGUGAACGAACCUCUGGUGUUCGGGUUGUCACGCCAGUGGCACUGCCCGGUAGCUAAGUUCGGAAUCGAUAACCGCUGAAAGCAUCUAAGCGGGAAGCGAGCCCUGAGAUGAGUCAUCCCUGACCCCUUGAGGGUCCUAAAGGGCCGUUGGAGACCACAACGUUGAUAGGUGGGGUGUGUAAGCGCGGCGACGUGUUGAGCUAACCCAUACUAAUUACCCGUGAGGCUUAACCAUACAACACCCAAGAAGUGUUCUG
rnacentral:rRNA from 1 species